UACGAAGGGGGCUAGCGUUGCUCGGAAUGACUGGGCGUAAAGGGCGCGUAGGCGGGCGGCACAGUCGGGCGUGAAAUUCCUGGGCUUAACCUGGGGGCUGCGUCCGAGACGUGUUGCCUAGAGUGGGGAAGAGGGUCGUGGAAUUCCCAGUGUAGAGGUGAAAUUCGUAGAUAUUGGGAAGAACACCGGUGGCGAAGGCGGCGACCUGGUCCUUGACUGACGCUGAGGCGCGAAAGCGUGGGGAGCAAACAGG
rnacentral:rRNA from 1 species